rnacentral:rRNA from 19 species
CAACUUUCAGCAGUGGAUGUCUAGGCUCGCACAUCGAUGAAGAACGCUGCGAACUGCGAUACGUAAUGCGAAUUGCAGGAUUCAGUGAGUCAUCGAAAUUUUGAACGCAUAUUGCACUU